ACCCUCUCAGGAUCACACCUGGAGAGUUUCCAGUACUCUACCAGUCUCGACUGUGGGAGGAAGAAUCAAGCAGAGGCAUAUCCAUUCGAUUUCUAACUUGUGCAGUGGCUAGUGAGUGGAAGGCCAUCUGCUACAAGU